CCCAAAGACCGAACGGUCGCUGUUUUUCGUUUUCGAGAGACAGAGGAAAGUCCGGACAGUUGAGCGCAGGGUGCCUCUUGAAAAAGGGGGUACGAUUUCGCAAGGAAUCGUAACAGUUAGAGCAACAGAGACGAACCGAGGUCAUGCUCGGGUGAAACGGGCAAUCCUCCCCACUGCAACCGGCGAACUUCACCAUAAUGGACGCGCUCCUUUUCUUGGUGAUAAUGAUACGGGCCUAGAGAAAUGAUCGUUGCCUUCUGAAAAGGAGGUACAGAAUCCGGCUUAUAGGUCUUUGGGCAUU
rnacentral:RNase_P_RNA from 3 species